rnacentral:rRNA from 1 species
CCUACGGGUGGCUGCAGUGGGGAAUAUUGGACAAUGGGCGAAAGCCUGAUCCAGCCAUGCCGCGUGUGUGAAGAAGGCCUUCGGGUUGUAAAGCACUUUCAGUGGGGAAGAAAGCCUUGGGGCUAAUACCCUCGAGGAAGGACAUCACCCACAGAAGAAGCACCGGCUAUCUCCGUGCCAGCAGCCGCGGUAAUACGGAGGGUGCGAGCGUUAAUCGGAAUUACUGGGCGUAAAGCGCGCGUAGGCGGUCUGAUAAGCCGGUUGUGAAAGCCCCGGGCUCAACCUGGGAACGGCAUCCGGAACUGUCAGGCUAGAGUGCAGGAGAGGAAGGUAGAAUUCCCGGUGUAGCAGUGAAAUGCGUAGAGAUCGGGAGGAAUACCAGUGGCGAAGGCGGCCUUCUGGACUGACACUGACGCUGAGGUGCGAAAGCGUGGGUAGCAAACAGGAUUAGAUACCCGUGUAGUC